UACGGGGGGGGCAAGCGUUGUUCGGAAUUACUGGGCGUAAAGGGCGCGUAGGCGGCUCGCUAAGUCGGAUGUGAAAACUCUGGGCUCAACCCAGAGCCUGCAUUCGAAACUGACGAGCUCGAGUUCUGGAGGGGAAAGCGGAAUUCCUGGUGUAGCGGUGAAAUGCGUAGAUAUCAGGAGGAACACCGGUGGCGAAGGCGGGUCUCUGGGCCAUUACUGACGCUGGAGGAGCGAAAGCGUGGGGAGCGAACAGG
rnacentral:rRNA from 1 species